CCAACUGUGUGAAUUAAUGUGAACUGCAUACUGCUUUGAACAUCGACAUCUUGAACGCACAUUGCGGCCACGGGUUUUCCUGUGGCCACGCCUGUCCGAGGGUCGGCU
rnacentral:rRNA from 2 species